UACGUAGGGACCAAGCGUUGUUCGGAUUUACUGGGCGUAAAGGGCGCGUAGGCGGCUUUUCAAGUGACGGGUGAAAUCCCUCGGCUUAACCGAGGAACUGCCUGUCAGACUGGAAGGCUUGAGACCGGGAGAGGUGAGUGGAAUUCCCAGUGUAGCGGUGAAAUGCGCAGAUAUCAGGAGGAACACCGGUGGCGAAGGCGGGUCUCUGGGCCGAUACUGACGCUGAGGAGCGAAAGCGUGGGGAGCGAACAGG
rnacentral:rRNA from 1 species